rnacentral:rRNA from 1 species
CACUAUCGUUAACUGAAUACAUAGGUUAACGAGGCGAACCGGGGGAACUGAAACAUCUAAGUACCCCGAGGAAAAGAAAUCAACCGAGAUUCCCCCAGUAGCGGCGAGCGAACGGGGAGCAGCCCAGAGUCUGAAUCAGCUUGUGUGUUAGUGGAACGGUCUGGAAAGUCCGACGGUACAGGGUGAUAGUCCCGUACACCAAAAUGCACAGGUUGUGAACUCGAAGAGUAGGGCGGGACACGUGGUAUCCUGUCUGAAUAUGGGGGGACCAUCCUCCAAGGCUAAAUACUCCUGACUGACCGAUAGUGAACCAGUACCGUGAGGGAAAGGCGAAAAGAACCCCGGCGAGGGGAGUGAAAAAGAACCUGAAACCGUGUACGUACAAGCAGUGGGAGCACCUUCGGGUGUGACUGCGUACCUUUUGUAUAAUGGGUCAGCGACUUAUAUUCUGUAGCAAGGUUAACCGUAUAGGGGAGCCGCAGGGAAACCGAGUCUUAACUGGGCGUUAAGUUGCAGGGUAUAGACCCGAAACCCGGUGAUCUAGCCAUGGGCAGGUUGAAGGUUGGGUAACACUAACUGGAGGACCGAACCGACUAAUGUUGAAAAAUUAGCGGAUGACUUGUGGCUGGGGGUGAAAGGCCAAUCAAACCGGGAGAUAGCUGGUUCUCCCCGAAAGCUAUUUAGGUAGCGCCUCGUGAACUCAUCUUCGGGGGUAGAGCACUGUUUCGGCUAGGGGGUCAUCCCGACUUACCAACCCGAUGCAAACUACGAAUACCGAAGAAUGUUAUCACGGGAGACACACGGCGGGUGCUAACGUCCGUCGUGAAGAGGGAAACAACCCAGACCGCCAGCUAAGGUCCCAAAGUCAUGGUUAAGUGGGAAACGAUGUGGGAAGGCACAGACAGCCAGGAUGUUGGCUUAGAAGCAGCCAUCAUUUAAAGAAAGCGUAAUAGCUCACUGGUCGAGUCGGCCUGCGCGGAAGAUGUAACGGGGCUAAACCAUGCACCGAAGCUGCGGCAGCGACACUAUGUGUUGUUGGGUAGGGGAGCGUUCUGUAAGCCUGCGAAGGUGACCUGUGAGGGUUGCUGGAGGUAUCAGAAGUGCGAAUGCUGACAUAAGUAACGAUAAAGCGGGUGAAAAGCCCGCUCGCCGGAAGACCAAGGGUUCCUGUCCAACGUUAAUCGGGGCAGGGUGAGUCGACCCCUAAGGCGAGGCCGAAAGGCGUAGUCGAUGGGAAACAGGUUAAUAUUCCUGUACUUGGUGUUACUGCGAAGGGGGGACGGAGAAGGCUAUGUUAGCCGGGCGACGGUUGUCCCGGUUUAAGCAUGUAGGCUGGUUGUCCAGGCAAAUCCGGAUAAUCAAGGCUGAGGUGUGAUGACGAGGUACUACGGUGCUGAAGUAACAAAUGCCCUGCUUCCAGGAAAAGCCUCUAAGCAUCAGGUAACAUUAAAUCGUACCCCAAACCGACACAGGUGGUCAGGUAGAGAAUACCAAGGCGCUUGAGAGAACUCGGGUGAAGGAACUAGGCAAAAUGGUGCCGUAACUUCGGGAGAAGGCACGCUGGUGUGUAGGUGAAGUCCCUGCGGAUGGAGCUGAGACCAGUCGAAGAUACCAGCUGGCUGCAACUGUUUAUUAAAAACACAGCACUGUGCAAACACGAAAGUGGACGUAUACGGUGUGACGCCUGCCCGGUGCCGGAAGGUUAAUUGAUGGGGUUAUCCGUAAGGAGAAGCUCUUGAUCGAAGCCCCGGUAAACGGCGGCCGUAACUAUAACGGUCCUAAGGUAGCGAAAUUCCUUGUCGGGUAAGUUCCGACCUGCACGAAUGGCGUAAUGAUGGCCAGGCUGUCUCCACCCGAGACUCAGUGAAAUUGAACUCGCUGUGAAGAUGCAGUGUACCCGCGGCAAGACGGAAAGACCCCGUGAACCUUUACUAUAGCUUGACACUGAACAUUGAGCCUUGAUGUGUAGGAUAGGUGGGAGGCUUUGAAGCGUGGACGCCAGUCUGCGUGGAGCCAACCUUGAAAUACCACCCUUUAAUGUUUGAUGUUCUAACGUUGGCCCCUUACCGGGGUUGCGGACAGUGUCUGGUGGGUAGUUUGACUGGGGCGGUCUCCUCCCAAAGCGUAACGGAGGAGCACGAAGGUUAGCUAAUCCUGGUCGGACAUCAGGAGGUUAGUGCAAUGGCAUAAGCUAGCUUGACUGCGAGCGUGACGGCGCGAGCAGGUGCGAAAGCAGGUCAUAGUGAUCCGGUGGUUCUGAAUGGAAGGGCCAUCGCUCAACGGAUAAAAGGUACUCCGGGGAUAACAGGCUGAUACCGCCCAAGAGUUCAUAUCGACGGCGGUGUUUGGCACCUCGAUGUCGGCUCAUCACAUCCUGGGGCUGAAGUAGGUCCCAAGGGUAUGGCUGUUCGCCAUUUAAAGUGGUACGCGAGCUGGGUUUAGAACGUCGUGAGACAGUUCGGUCCCUAUCUGCCGUGGGCGCUGGAGAAUUGAGGGGGGCUGCUCCUAGUACGAGAGGACCGGAGUGGACGCAUCACUGGUGUUCGGGUUGUCAUGCCAAUGGCACUGCCCGGUAGCUAAAUGCGGAAGAGAUAAGUGCUGAAAGCAUCUAAGCACGAAACUUGCCCCGAGAUGAGUUCUCCCUGAGACUUUAAGUCUCCUGAAGGAACGUUGAAGACGACGACGUUGAUAGGCCGGGUGUGUAAGCGCAGCGAUGCGUUGAGCUAACCGGUACUAAUGAACCGUGAGGCUUAACCUU